rnacentral:lncRNA from 1 species
UAGUUUUAGAUUUACGUCAGUUUCUUGCACUGCAAAUAAACAAAUCCUAGCCUGCAACUUCCACUGAAAUGAAGUAGAAACACAAAAACUAACAAUAAAAUAAACAAGUGCUUUGCCUUUUCCUUUUUGGCUUCAACAAUCAAUAAGAAUGCCUUCCACUCAUGAACAAACACAGAUCUUCACUCUUUCUUUCCUUCUCCUUUCCUUUGCUUUUUUCCCAUGAAAAACUCAUGCUUCAAAGCUAAGAACAACAUCUUAAACUCACAAUUCACAACUAUAUAAAUAGCAAACUUUACAAGCUAACAAUCCGUCAUCAUUUAACUAACUCUUCAACCUCCGAAAAAGCGCGAAGAACACUAAAAGAAGUUUAUAUAUUAAGCUUCAAAAUGGAUCAACACCAAAAGGGUUCUUCAAAUAUGAAGGGGUUGGACAAAGAUGGUGAAAGAAGAGAGAGAAUCGCGUCGACAAGAAGGUUCUUGAUGGAAGAUGUGAACGAAUCUGCUGAUGAUUUUAUCAAGAAUUUCAGGAAGCAACUUAUGUUUGAAAGAAAAGAAUCAUUUAAACGUUUUCAGGAAAUGCUUAAUAGGGGAACUUAAAGUUGAUUCUUUUGUUUAGUUCUUUCUUGUGUGCUUGGAAUUGUAAUAUUCUCAAGUGAAUACAUAGUAUAUCUGUUCUGUCAUAGUUCUGAUUAGAAAAUAAAAUUGCGGAAACUUUAAGACAGUGGUCAACUUGUGUGCCGUGGAAGCAAUCAUUAAUAUUUGCAUUAGGUACAGUGUCUACAUCAUACCCCUAGGGUCGCGGACUUUAAUCGGACCUUCAUGAAUGCACAUGCUUUGUGUAAUGGACUACCCUUUAUUUGCUAAUCAAUGACAACACGAGAAGACCCUUAUUUGUGUAAAGAGAUUUUAGCUUGAGGAUAACAACAACAACAACAAAACAUGUGUAAUCCAUAAGUGGGGUCUGGUGAGGGUAGUGUGUAUGCAGACCUUACUACCUUACCUUAUAAAGGUAGAGAGGCUAUUUCUGAUAGACCCUCAGCUCAAAGAACAAUGAAUUUAGCUUGAGGAGAGAAUAUCUUUAUACCAA